AUAUUGGUGGUUCAGCGGUAGGAUUCCUGUUUUCCAUAUGGGAGACCAGCGUUCGAUUUCCAGCCAAUAUA
rnacentral:tRNA from 1 species